CUCUGUUGGAUCAUUACCUCUUCUCCUGGGUUCUCUAUGAGUUGCGUUCUCCCAGUGAUUCCUUGUGUUUUCUCUUGGACAUUUUGGAUUUUGUUUUUGGACUAUUGAAGUGCACUGGGUGGUAAAAGUAAGUUUUCCUGCCCCAACAUUUUGAAGGACACCCAAGGGAGCUUGACGUCAGUCACUGCAGCCGUCUGCCGCCGCCACCAUCAUCAACACUAACAUCAUCAUCCUCUGUGAAAGCAGACCUGUGUAGGUGUCCUUCAGAGAAUCUCACUGCUACAUAAACACGUGUGGUGGAAGGUGUUUACUCCAAUCUCCAGCCAACGUGUGCUCAGGCGUCCACGGAGCAGUUUAAAUGUGUUGGUUGCAUGGCCAAUUUGACCUUCUUGAGAACCUGUGGAUGUCUGAAAGAGGAAAUCAGCCUCUCAUCAGGGUGCUGAAUCAGCCUUAUGAAGCUACUGUAUGCAAAGAUGGAUAUGGAUAUUAAAAUUCAGAGGAAAGUGAGGGGCCCUGAUUCUCAUGAGACCAUCCUGUUUUGUGCUAAUAUCCACUCGUUUAUGUAAGGAAACAUAUAGAAGAACAUAUGUACAGUCAUAUUGCAUUACUUAAGGAACUUCCUUAAUGACAUUCAUUACUUAAACCCUGACCUCAAACCACAACCCAAAUGUCUUCUUGUCUGAGACUCUGUCAUCUUUUGUGUGGAGGACAGUUAUUGCAAAGAAUACAAAAGCCACUGUCAUUUUGAUGAGUUAUUUAAAAAGAGGGUUAUAUAUAAUAUGAGGCUGUUUAAGAGGGGACACAAGAGUCGGGAAAAGACAGGAGGAAGAUGUCUCUUAAAAAGGAAAAUUAAUGUUAACCUUCACUACCUGAGGUAUGCAUUUAUUGGUUUAGUUGGUUUAAUUUGUGUCUGUUUGUGUCCCACUACUUGAAUUGAGAAAUUAAAAAGAAUAGAGUAUUAAUACUUCAUAAGGGCUGAGGUAGAAUUGAAUAGACUGAAGACUGACAUUUUGAAUACCAUACUUAGCUGAAACUUCAACAAACUUUUACCUGAACAUUACAUUUCAAAUUGUAUCUGUAGCUUGUGCACUCAAACUAAAUGUUAGUCUAUUGAUGAUUUACAUCUGACCUCCCCCCUCUCUCCCUCUCCCUGGGCCUAUAGAUUUACAUUAUUCUUUCUGUAGAGAGCAGGAGGAAGCAGACUGAAACACGACACAGGAACAAGUUUAUGGGGUCACUAUCUAUUAAUAAUGAUCUACUUUUAAUCCCAAUGAAAAGGACACAUUUACUCCCACAGGUAAAUGCAGGGAGGAGCUGUUAACAUAAAUCUCUUUGAUUCAAUUGUACAAGAUACUUCUGCACUAAAAGAAAAUACAAGUUUUGGCAUGACACAGCUUCAUGUGAUCACAAAUCAACCCUGAAGCCAAUUGAAACAGUCUUUGUAUUUAUAUCUGAAUUCAAACUGAUUAAAUGACUGCUGCUUCGUCAGCACUGUCAACUUGCCGCUGAGUCUCCAGUUCAGUUUCACACUCUAACACCAAUCCCAGGCUAGUGCCUCUUUUGACAUCCCAUGUUUGACAGCACAAAAGCUGUUUUAAUUCAAAAUAUUUGCUCAAUAUUUCAGAGACAGAUGUGCUCGUAUUCCCAUAGAUUUGAUUUCACGCAACGUGAAAUAAAAGCCUGCCUCUGCCCAUAAAACGCACUAGCAAGCUGAGUCUGCUGUGGCUCCGUUAUUUUGCACAUGGAAGGAGGGAUACAUUUCAGAUUGUUAUCAAGAAUUGUCCAAAGACUACACAUGCCUGCACUGCUAUACUGGGGUCUUGGCAUGUCAGGAUAUUUGCACAGUUCUUCAUCCGCACCGACAGACUUAUGGACUUUGUCACACUAUUACACUUUGGUUGCUUGUAUGCCAAUAAAAAUGUUGUAUUCAUGUCUUCUUGUGUAUGCUGAUUUGGCACAGACUGGACUUUGUGGAGCUCAGACAGUUUUUGGUGCACAGACCCAAGGAAUUGUCAAGCUUUUAUAUUAAA